AUGUAGGCCAUGUGAGAGCUUCAUCUUAGGCCCUGAAUUUAGCUCCACCUUGACCUCUUCAGAGAAUGCAGCUUCACUUCUCUCAGUUGUUCCACAAGUACAUAUUAAGUACCUACUGUGUGUCACAUGUGGACCUGAUUCAUGAAAUUUGCUGAGGGUCAAUGAGACCAAGUCCUUCAACUCAUGGAUGCACUUAGCAGGAACAAAGAGCAUGGCUUUAGGGUCAGGAAAACCUCAGCUGAAAUCCCAGCUCUACCCUUUGCUUGUUAGGAGACCCUUUCUGAGCCUCAGUUUCCCCAUCUUUCAAGUGGGGGUAAGAAUGCGACCUUGCAGGACUGUUGAGAAGAUCUGGAAAGAAAAGCAAUGGAUGAGGCCUUACUCUGAGAUCACUUCCUUCCUCUCAUGGGGCCCCAGGCCACUGUCUCCUACAAUCCAGCAGAAAGUACCUGCCAACCAUCACAGAAUGCCCUGAGGUUCAGGCCCCUGGCAUGCCCUUCAAUGCUCUAAUGACUAAGGACUUGAACAGUAGGAGGCUCACUCAAAGCUUCCCAGCCAGGCAUGAAGGGACUAGCCUAUGCCCACUUUGGGCAUACAGCAAAAACCGUCCUGUCUAUAUAGUAGGCAUAACCAACGUAGAGGCCUAUGCAGGCCAGGCAGGAGCCAAGAAUGUGCAAGCAGGCUGGGUGGGGAAUGUGGUCAAAUGGUGUUCCUGCUCCACUCCCAGUGGCAGCAGGCAGGCAGCACCAGCCAAUGGGCAUCAUGAAGAGAUGUGGACUCCGAGGUGCCAGACCUUGUGAUUUUUCAAGAGAAGAUGGAAAUCCGGACUUUUAUGUAAAACCUGCCAAUUUGUAAAUGCUGGCAACUAAUUACAUUUUCAAAAAUAAUAAUAACAUGGUAAGAGCCAAACAAAACAUGCAAGGCCAGCCACAACCAGAGCUGGCAGGUUUGCACCAAAGAAACAAGAUUCCUUGACUUCAUUUAUCCCCUGCCCACUCCCUGAUCACACAGCUUUGGACACAGGAGAGAAGGGAUCAGUGAGGACAACAGUUCCCAGACCCUCCCUUCCUUCUGGUGGAGAUCGUCACCCUCAAUUUGCAUGUGAGGCCCAGAGACCCAAUUAUUCAGCCACAAACACCAGCCAGUGCCAGGACCAUCCACUGAGGCUCGCUUAUUCAAGGGCUCUAGAUGAUAACCAGCACCCAAAUCUUUUUUCUUUUCUGGACUGUCAUGGUCACAUCUGCUGGCUCAGACCAGCUUUGGACCAGUCCAAGUGGCUGUCACAAGUAAAGUGUCAGUAAAGAAGGGAGGGAAGGCACCCCUCCUUAGGAGAGGUGGGAGGGAGAGAAGGUGAGGCGGCGAUGAGGAGUGGGGAGGCUGGCAGAGUCAGGCACACCCCUGCAGACUAAGCCCCUUCCCUGUGCUCCCCACAGCCACCCAGACCCAACCUUAAGGAAGCCUCAUCCAAGAGCCUUCCCCUACCCUGAAACCUACCUCACUCGGGAUAGCCCCAGCACUGUGCCCAUGGAGGCGGGACGUGUGAAGAAACGCCUGGGACCAUCAAGUUGUUAGCGUAUGUGACUGUGUGCAAGAUUCACGGGACUGUUUGUGAUACCAGCCGCCUGUGACCACUGUGUGACCUCAACCAAAGCCUUGACCUCUCUGAGCCCAGCUGCCUCAUCUCUUGAAAAGGUUAACAUUGAUGGGGAGACAUAGAGAACUCCAUGUCAUGCCCUCAGCACAGGACCCUGCAAAAUGCUCCUGACAUUCUCAGAAUAUGGGUUCAGUCUUAGCUCCGUAUUCCUGAUGUCCAUUCACUCUGAACCCUGUUGGAACAUGGCCUCAGCAUCUGUCCAUCCACCCACCCAUCCACACAGUUGCAAGUUGGAUGGCCCUUCAGAAAGCUCAGUGCAUCUUCCAGCUGAAGAGUGUUUCAAGGGCACGUCAUGGAAGCCACCGGUCUCUGCAAGCCCCAGCUUGAGCAGCCAGCCACUCACCCACUUAUAACUGCCAUACUUCCCUCUACCUGGCCCUGCUACCAACACUGAGGGACUGAGGAUAGCUGCCUUUCACCUCUGGGUCCUGUCUCAUCUGGACAUUGGUGCUGACACCUUCUUCUCCUAGGAUUGCUGGAGGGAGGGAUUCAACAUCUCAAGAACACACAGCGGUUUGGUCCAAUCAAGAAGAGCCUUUAUGGUUCUCUACAAACAGAAGCUCAACAGUGACAAGCCG